GAAAAAAGGGGGGGGGGGAACCCAAGCAGGAAAUAUAGAUGGGCGUUUCCACAGAAACACAAAAGUCCAAGAUAUUGGCCGGAAAGACAUUUUUACAAUGAAGUAUUAGUGUGUGUUGUUUUACUUCUAAACAGCUAACUCAAAGGGGCCAUGGCACAAUUGGUUCCAAAUGCUUCAUACUGAGAAGAAACACAGGCAGCUGGCCUCGCUGGUUAACGACUCUCAGUUUGAGGCUUCAGAUGGUAAAGAGAAAGAAGAAAACAGCAAGAAUGUCCCUGGUUGCUAGGAGGGCCAGAGAACUGGGGUGAAGCAGCGUCCGAGGACAGGACAUGGCCAGAGGUGCAGGGGGGCAGGGGGCGAGGGAGUUUUCUAGAGACAUCAAGCGUCACACUUUAAGACACCGCUCAGAGUAACCUCAGAUCUAUACCAUGCAUAUGCCUAGUCGCUUACUCAUCAAUAGACAUUUACUGAGCAUCGAAAACCUACCAAGUAUUUGUGCCAGAUGGUGUGGGGAUCUUCAAGGGAGGAAAGGAGUCGGCUGUGUACCUGAACCUGCUUGCCAUCUGGACACUCCACCUGGGAUGCUGGUCCUUGACCCACACACCCCCAAGCCCCACAGUGGGACAUGUGAGCUCCAUGGGCACCAAUCUUGGGCCACAAGUGACUGCAACAGGACCCUGGGGAGGACACUCCUCCGUGUGCUAUGGAUGCAGGGACGGAAGCAAGACGACUCGCCCAAGGUAACAGAGCCCACCAAUGCCCGCCAGCAGCCUGAAAGAUACAGCACUUCUUAAAUAGAAGCCAUUUAAAAAUACUACAUGCAGACAUGAGAAAAAUCAGCCCGCUUCUCCAACUUGUGGGUCAAAGGGAAGGCGACCGUGAACAAACUGUGACAAACUUGCAGAGAGAAGCGUCCCUCUUUGAGGUCCCCCCGUGGAGGGGUGGCUCUCCCUCCAGAAAGGCUGUGCAUUCUCUUUGGCUCCAGAAGACGCUGUCCUAAGCUG
rnacentral:lncRNA from 1 species